GCCUGGCUGGCUCAGUUGGUAGAGCAUGCAACUCUUGAUCUUGGGGUUGUGAGUUCAAGGCCCAUGUUGGGCA
rnacentral:tRNA from 1 species